GAUGAAGAACGUAGUGAAAUGCGAUACGUAAUGUGAAUUGCAGAAUUCAGUGAAUCAUCGAGUCUUUGAACGCACAUUGCGCCCUCUGGUAUUCCGGAGGGCAUGCCUGUCCGAGCGUCAUUGCUGCCCUCAAGCACGGCUUGUGUGUUGGGCCCCGUCCUCCUUCCGGGGGACGGGUCCGAAAGGCAGCGGCGGCACCGCGUCCGGUCCUCAAGCGUAUGGGGCUUCGUCACCCGCUCUUGUAGGCCCGGCCGGCGCUUGCCGACACAUCAAUCUUUUUUCCAGGUUGACCUCGGAUCAGGUAGGGAUACCCGCUGAACUUAAGCAUAUCAAUAAGCGGAGGA
rnacentral:misc_RNA from 1 species